rnacentral:rRNA from 1 species
AUUGAACGCUGGCGGCAGGCCUAACACAUGCAAGUCGAGCGGAUGAAGGGAGCUUGCUCCUGGAUUCAGCGGCGGACGGGUGAGUAAUGCCUAGGAAUCUGCCUGGUAGUGGGGGAUAACGUCCGGGAACGGGCGCUAAUACCGCAUACGUUCUGAGGGCGAAAGGGGGGGAGGUUGGGACCUCACGCUAUCAGAUGAGCCUAGGUCGGAUUAGCUAGUUGGUGGGGUGAAGGGCUACCAAGGCGACGAUCCGUAGCUGGACGGAGAGGAUGAUCAGUCACACUGGAACUGAGACACGGACCAGACUACUAAGGGAGGGAGCAGUGGGGAAUAUGGGACAAUGGGCGAAAGCCUGAUCCAGCCGUGCCGCGUGUGUGAAGGAGGUCUUCGGUUUGUAAAGCACUUUUAGUUGGGAGGAAGGGCAGUAAGUUAAUACCUUGCUGUUUUGACGGUACCAGCAGAAUAAGCACCGGCUAACUACGUG